rnacentral:rRNA from 1 species
GACGAACGCUGGCGGCGUGCCUAAUACAUGCAAGUCGAGCGCAGGAAAUCAUCCGAACCUUUCGGGGGGACGUUGAUGGAAUGAGCGGCGGACGGGUGAGUAACACGUAAAGAACCUGCCCUCAGGUCUGGGAUAACCACGAGAAAUCGGGGCUAAUACCGGAUGGGUCAUCGGACCGCAUGGUCCGAGGAUGAAAGGCGCUUCGGCGUCGCCUGGGGAUGGCUUUGCGGUGCAUUAGCUAGUUGGUGGGGUAAUGGCCCACCAAGGCGACGAUGCCUAGCCGACCUGAGAGGGUGAUCGGCCACACCGGGACUGAGACACGGCCCAGACUCCUACGGGAGGCAGCAGUAGGGAAUCUUCCACAAUGGACGAAAGUCUGAUGGAGCAACGCCGCGUGAACGAUGAAGGCCUUCGGGUCGUAAAGUUCUGUUGUAAGGGAAGAACAAGUGCCGCAGGCAAUGGCGGCACCUUGACGGUACCUUGCGAGAAAGCCACGGCUAACUACGUGCCAGCAGCCGCGGUAA